rnacentral:rRNA from 1 species
GACGAACGCUGGCGGCGUGCUUAACACAUGCCAGUCGAACGGAAAGGCCCUGCUUUUGUGGGGUGCUCGAGUGGCGAACGGGUGAGUAACACGUGAGUAACCUGCCCUUGACUUUGGGAUAACUUCAGGAAACUGGGGCUAAUACCGGAUAGGAGCUCCUGCUGCAUGGUGGGGGUUGGAAAGUUUCGGCGGUUGGGGAUGGACUGGCGGCUUAUCAGCUUGUUGGUGGGGUAGUGGCUUACCAAGGCUUUGGCGGGUCGCCGGCCUGAGAGGGUGAACGGCCACAAUGGGACUGAGAUAGGGACCAGACGCCAACGGGAGGCAGCAGUGGGGAAUAUUGCACAAUGGGCGGAAGCCUGAUGCAGCAACGCCGCGUGCGGGAUGACGGCCUUCGGGUUGUAAACCGCUUUCGCCUGUGACGAAGCGUGAGUGACGGUAAUGGGUAAAGAAGCACCGGCUAACUACGUG